AAGGAAUUGACGGGGGCCCGCACAAGCGGCGGAGCAUGUGGCUUAAUUCGACGCAACGCGAAGAACCUUACCAAGGCUUGACAUACACCGGAAAACCCUGGAGACAGGGUCCCCCUUGUGGUCGGUGUACAGGUGGUGCAUGGCUGUCGUCAGCUCGUGUCGUGAGAUGUUGGGUUAAGUCCCGCAACGAGCGCAACCCUUGUCCCGUGUUGCCAGCAGGCCCUUGUGGUGCUGGGGACUCACGGGAGACCGCCGGGGUCAACUCGGAGGAAGGUGGGGACGACGUCAAGUCAUCAUGCCCCUUAUGUCUUGGGCUGCACACGUGCUACAAUGGCCGGUACAAUGAGCUGCGAUACCGCGAGGUGGAGCGAAUCUCAAAAAGCCGGUCUCAGUUCGGAUUGGGGUCUGCAACUCGACCCCAUGAAGUCGGAGUCGCUAGUAAUCGCAGAU
rnacentral:rRNA from 1 species